UCUGCAGGCCGGGCAGCCGCGGGGAGGUUUUCUUCUCGAGGAAAGUCCGGACAUCGCAGGGCAGGGUGGUCGGUAACGCCGACCCGGGGAAACCCGCGGGAAAGUGCAACAGAAAGAACACCGCCCACGUCCGGGGGUUCGUCGGUCAGCCGACGUGUCGCCUCCGGGCCGGCAAGGUUGAAAAGGUGCGGUAAGAGCGCACCGGCGUCGCGGUGACGCGGCGGCCCGGCAAACCCCACCCGAUGCAAGGCCAAGCAGGACCGUUCGCAGGUUGCCCGCCGAGGUCCAGGUAG
rnacentral:RNase_P_RNA from 1 species